GCUCCAACGAUAGUUCACCAAGAGAAAUCAAUCCAAUAAUUUAUUUUGAGCGGGAGAUCAGGAAUUAAACACAUGCAAAGAAGUACCCUAAAUUGCGAACCACCAAACACAUACAAACACAAAGCAACUAAGUUAAUCAAAAUUUAGUUUCACAUUUAGUGUUAACCCUUUAACAUUACUUGUACAAAAAUGGUUGAAACAGAAAAUUGUUGCUAGCUCAAAAAUAAACAACAGAUCAGUUGUCUAUUCUCCAGAAUCAUAACAUUAGUAUCGAAAAACCUGAGCCGACGGAUGAACGCUUUCAAACUAGCAAUACCAUGUAUAACUAUCAACAUCCCUAUUUUGUUCUCAUAUGAAAGGC
rnacentral:lncRNA from 1 species